rnacentral:rRNA from 1 species
AACGAACGCUGGCGGCAUGCCUAACACAUGCAAGUCGAACGAGACCUUCGGGUCUAGUGGCGCACGGGUGCGUAACGCGUGGGAACCUGCCCUUAGGUUCGGAAUAACUCCCCGAAAGGGGUGCUAAUACCGGAUAAUGUCUUCGGACCAAAGAUUUAUCGCCUUUGGAUGGGCCCGCGUUGGAUUAGCUAGUUGGUAGGGUAAAAGCCUACCAAGGCGACGAUCCAUAGCUGGUCUGAGAGGAUGAUCAGCCACACUGGGACUGAGACACGGCCCAGACUCCUACGGGUGGCAGCAGUGGGGAAUAUUGGACAAUGGGCGAAAGCCUGAUCCAGCAAUGCCGCGUGAGUGAUGAAGGCAUUAGGGUUGUAAAGCUCUUUUACCCGGGAUGAUAAUGACAGUACCGGGAGAAUAAGCUCCGGCUAACUCCGUG